UACGUAGGUGGCAAGCGUUGUCCGGAAUUAUUGGGCGUAAAGCGCGCGCAGGUGGUUCCUUAAGUCUGAUGUGAAAGCCCCCGGCUCAACCGGGGAGGGUCAUUGGAAACUGGGGAACUUGAGUGCAGAAGAGGAUAGUGGAAUUCCAAGUGUAGCGGUGAAAUGCGUAGAGAUUUGGAGGAACACCAGUGGCGAAGGCGACUGUCUGGUCUGUAACUGACACUGAGGCGCGAAAGCGUGGGGAGCAAACAGG
rnacentral:rRNA from 2 species